rnacentral:rRNA from 1 species
GAUGAACGCUGGCGGCGUGCCUAAUACAUGCAAGUCGAGCGAAUGGAUUAAGAGCUUGCUCUUAUGAAGUUAGCGGCGGACGGGCGAGUAACACGUGGGUAACCUGCCCAUAAGACUGGGAUAACUCCGGGAAACCGGGGCUAAUACCGGAUAACAUUUUGAACCGCAUGGUUCGAAAUUGAAAGGCGGCUUCGGCUGUCACUUAUGGAUGGACCCGCGUCGCAUUAGCUAGUUGGUGAGGUAACGGCUCACCAAGGCAACGAUGCGUAGCCGACAUGAGAGGGUGAUCGGCCACACUGGGACUGAGACACGGCCCAGACUCCUACGGGAGGCAGCAGUAGGGAAUCUUCCGCAAUGGACGAAAGUCUGACGGAGCAACGCCGCGUGAGUGAUGAAGGCUUUCGGGUCGUAAAACUCUGUUGUUAGGGAAGAACAAGUGCUAGUUGAAUAAGCUGACACCUUGACGGUACCUAACCAGAAAGCCACGGCUAACUACGUGCCAGCAGCCGCGGUAA